AACGUCACAGAGGGUGAGAAUCCCGUGCGAUGAGAUGUCCCAGACCUAUGUAAAGUUCCUUCGAAGAGUCGAGUUGUUUGGGAAUGCAGCUCUAAGUGGGUGGUAAAUUCCAUCUAAAGCUAAAUAUUGGCGAGAGACCGAUAGCGAACAAGUACAGUGAUGGAAAGAUGAAAAGAACUUUGAAAAGAGAGUGAAAAAGUACGUGAAAUUGUUGAAAGGGAAGGGCUUGAGAUCAGACUUGGUAUUUUGUAUGUUACUCUCUCGGGGGUGGCCUCUACAGUUUACCGGGCCAGCAUCAGUUUGAGCGGUAGGAUAAGUGCAAAGAAAUGUGGCACUGCUUCGGUAGUGUGUUAUAGUCUUUGUCGAUACUGCCAGCUUAGACUGAGGACUGCGGCUUCGGCCUAGGAUGUUGGCAUAAUGAUCUUAAGUCGCCCGUCUUGAAACACGGACCAAGGAGUCUAACGUCUAUGCGAGUGUUUGGGUGUAAAACCCGUACGCGUAAUGAAAGUGAACGUAGGUAGGACCUCCUUUAGGAGUGCACUAUCGACCGAUCCUGAUGUCUUCGGAUGGAUUUGAGUAAGAGCAUAGCUGUUGGGACCCGAAAGAUGGUGAACUAUGCCUGAAUAGGGUGAAGCCAGAGGAAACUCUGGUGGAGGCUCGUAGCGGUUCUGACGUGCAAAUCGAUCGUCGAAUUUGGGUAUAG
rnacentral:rRNA from 1 species